UGCAUACACAAUUAAAAAAUGGCUGAAGAAUUGCUUUUUAAUAAUUUUCCAUCCAAGAGCAACAGGCAGCAAUGGAGGAUUGGGGCAGAGAACCGCAUAGCAAAGUCAGAAACUCAGCCACCAGAGCGAAGCACUCUAUUCACAGCGGAACUCAGCUCUUGGCCCAAGAGGCAGUCACAUUUGCAACCAUCCAGGAACAGCUGGGUGGUAAACAGUGCAGAAGGUUCUGUCUGCUGGACUCUGGAUAAGCUCAAAGGCUAGCAGCCUCCUUCAGCUGUGUGUGAUGGGCCCACAGAGUGACACUGGCAACCUUCACUGCUGUAUGGGGGAUGAGGACCACAAGAUGGGUUGGCUCCAGGCACUUGGUUGGGAUCCUCUUUACCCACACAAGGUCACCAAGCUGGAACUUGUGGGCAGGCAAGGACACAGCCUCUCAACCCAUCUGAUGAAUUGUCCUCUGGGUCUGUUGAAGAACAUGUAGGACCUGUAAAGACUUGAGGAGAGAAUGGGCAUGAAACAUUAUGGAAAAGAGACUCGUCUUCUCUGAAGAAAGCGUGGAGAACUACUUUGGCUACAUGAUGUCAAGUGAAAGAUGCCAAGGUCACAAGGAACAACCAAAGGGAGGAAGUGGCAUCAUGCCCUGACUAUCUCUCCCCAUCAGUGCAUCGCUUGCCUACAAACCUUUCCUUUGUCUCACAUUGUGCUCUCUUGAGUACUGUCUGAAUUCUCAGAGGAAAGACUCACAUUUGAUUGUCUUGUGCAUAAGGUGGGUCAGCUUGAGCUGUGCAACAGAAAGCCACAAUCAGUGUUUACCUGCACAAUAUUGCUCCUGAAGGCGGCAUUAAUUAAUGUGGAAACACACUAGAAAUGUGUAAUUUUUCAUUUGCAAACAUUUAUAGAACACAGUAAAAAUUCUGUGAUAAGGCCAA
ensembl:lncRNA